CAGUCGCCACGGGAAUACGUAGGUGGCAAGCGUUGUCCGGAAUUAUUGGGCGUAAAGGGCUCGCAGGCGGUUUCUUAAGUCUGAUGUGAAAGCCCCCGGCUCAACCGGGGAGGGUCAUUGGAAACUGGGAAACUUGAGUGCAGAAGAGGAGAGUGGAAUUCCACGUGUAGCGGUGAAAUGCGUAGAGAUGUGGAGGAACACCAGUGGCGAAGGCGACUCUCUGGUCUGUAACUGACGCUGAGGAGCGAAAGCGUGGGGAGCGAACAGGAUUAGAGACCCCAGUAGUCCCUGUCUCUUAUAC
rnacentral:rRNA from 1 species